AGAUUGAACGCUGGCGGCAGGCCUAACACAUGCAAGUCGAGCGGCAGCACGGGUACUUGUACCUGGUGGCGAGCGGCGGACGGGUGAGUAAUGCCUAGGAAUCUGCCUGAUAGUGGGGGAUAACGCUCGGAAACGGCGCUAAUACCGCAUACGUCCUACGGGAGAAAGCGAGGGGACCUUCGGGCCUUGCGCUAUCAGAUGAGCCUAGGUCGGAUUAGCUAGUUGGUGGGUAAUGGCUCACCAAGGCGACGAUCCGUAACUGGUCUGAGAGGAUGAUCAGUCACACUGGAACUGAGACACGGUCCAGACUCCUACGGGAGCAGCAGGUGGGAAAUUAGUUGGACAAGUGGGACAAAGCCGUGA
rnacentral:rRNA from 1 species